rnacentral:lncRNA from 1 species
AACCUUUUAGCACUUGCAUGCAUAUAUGGAUAGGUUUACAACCCAAUAACCAAUAUGAGCCACAUCACAUGACCAUAUACAAAAUGAAUCACAUUCCUAUUAUGAGCCAAUACAUUUGCUAAAUCAAAUGACACAUAUUGAAUUGACUAAGUUCCUAUACAUUCCAUAGACUUAAAGUGCUUGAAAUCAUUUAUACCCUUCAAUAGCUGGAUAGUGUGAUAGAAUCUCCGACGAUCUCCAACCCGAGCUAGCAUCUGUGACACUAUGAGAGAAAGAAAAGGAAAGGGGUAAGCUAUAUAGCUUAGUAAGUCCACUUGAAAAUAAUAAUAAAUUUAUUAACAUGUUUUUAACAAUUCUCACAACAUGUUCACAAGUUAAUACAAUCAUAAUUGCACAAAAUUCUACUAUUUACUCAUGUUCAUCUCAAGCUAUCUACUCGAGUCACAGUUACUAAAUUAUUUAUAUCUUGAGCUAAAGAACUCAAAAUUAAGAUCUGCUAAUUUAUCUUGAAACUAGACUCAUAUAUAUUCUUACCAUAAAAUUUUCAGAACUUGUGGUCCAUCCAAUAAAUACAUUUUAUUCUUUAAAGUCUCCCAUGUUCUGCUGUUUGAUAGUUUCAACCCUUCUUCACUAAAAAUUAAUUAUCUCACAGUAAGGAAUUUGGAUAAUGUUCUUGUCUAUUUCUAUUGAAAAUAGACUCAUUAAGGAUUUAUUCAUAUGAAUUCUAACUCAUAAUUAUUUUCCUAAAAUUUUUAAUUAUUUCCCAAAGUUAAGAUAAGGGAACCCAAAAUCACUGUAGCCCUAUCUCACAGAAAUCUUAAAAUCUCAUAACAUGAAAUUCUUUUGCUUACACCAUUUCUUCUAUGUGAAACUAGACUCAAUAAGAUUUAAUAUCAUAAUUUAUUCAAUCUCUAACUCAAUUUACACAAUGUUUUAUGGAUUUUCAAAGUCGGACUACUGGUACUGUCCAAAACUCUUUUAGUGUAGAAUAAUGAUAACUAAGUUUAUAACACCUUUACAAAUCAUUUCAACAUUCAUGGUAAAAAUACAUAUUUAUACAUCACAAGUAUAGACCCAUAAUCACAAGGUCAUCACAAAAUCAUUCUCAUGGGCAUGACUUACUUAUUUGUCUCCUUACCAAAGGUGCAUCCUUACCAAAUAAAUGUACAUCUUAAGUGUGGGGAGGUUAUUUAUGAUUAUCAGAAAAUCCCUGAAUUUUUAUCUUGUUCUCAAAUAAAUCUCUCAUAUUACUAUUAGAAUGAAUUUGAUUAAUUUAUGAUUUUGAUUGAUAUGUUUUGAAUUAAAUCAUAGGUAACUGUGCAUUGAUUGUUUAAACUUUAGACAUUAGAGGCUCAAGAAUGAUAAGUUGACUUUUGAGAAUUAAAAUUGUUAGGUUAUUUCCCAGAAUUGAGGUAUUAUCUUGAAGUUUUGAGUUUACAGGAUUAACAUCAAACACCCAUGACUUUCGUGAGAUUUUGAGCCGUUUAGAGCAUAUAUCUUUCUUGUUCACUAAUUUUUUAUGAGUGUGUCAGCAUUGAUUUGCUAUUCUAGAACUUCCAUCAAUAAUACAUGUCGAGAUCAUACCUUUGAUUUGAUAUACUGAAAUGAUAAAGGCACUUAGGUUUUAACCCAUUUACCCCAUAAAAAGCCUACCCACAUAAUUGACCCCUAGUGAACCCCUUUAAGCCUUAACUAUUAUUUCUUGAUUUUUCCCCUUAAUAGCAACCCUCAAUUUAACCCUUUUUAAUUUGUUAAGAAUUUCUCCCUUCUCAUUGACUCCCUUUUUAUCGAGAUUUGAUUUGAUUAGUUACCUAACUAUGUUCGUUCAUUCUAGUUGCUGAGUUAUUUAUUAUUAUGUAUGUUCCGUUAUUAUACUUGUUCUUAUUCUUAAAAAAAUAGUAUAUUUAUUUUCAUCCAGUCACAUAUUUGUCUAAAGAGCUUGGAUAAGUUAAAGUUGUUUUAUUGAGAAAAAGCUCACAUUAUUAGUUUCGGAUAGUUAGAAGUCUGGCACUUUUUUGUAAUUCAGCAAUUAGCUUUAUUUGUCUAAAUUUGGUAAUUUAUUUAAAUUAAUCUCAAUUCCAACCCUCGUUUUCAGCCUUUAUCCACACCUUUAACCCAAGCCCCAUUACAACCCUGUUAAAGACCUUUUGAUUUGUGUAUCAUCUCAUUAUAGUGGUGGAGAUUUGAUUUUCGUGCAAGCCUAUGGUAAUAACUUUUCAUGUUUGACUAUUGAGUGCUUAAUUAUCGAACUUUAAACACUUUGAGUGAUUUGAGUGAAUCUUUAGUAAGGAAUGUCAGCCCUUGUCGAUUUGGAAUUAAAGGUAAUUACUUAGAUAAAGGGGGAUACCUAUAAUUUUAUGAUUGAAAUUUUCAAUAUAGAUUGUUGGAUACUUUAAUGUUCUUUUAGUUAAGCUUUCAAUCUAUGAUUGCUAGGGAUUACUUCGAAACAUUAUUAAUGAGAAUUAUAAGUUGAGAAGAAUUUAUUUUAAUUGUAAGUUGAGAACUUUGCUUGAGGAUAAGCAAAUGCUUAAGUGUGGGGAUAUUUGACAAACCAUAAUAUAUACAUAUUUUUACCCCAUGCUUGGCAUAUUUAUGGAUUAUUUUUCCUUGGUUUCAUUGAAUUUGAUGCUUCUAAUCCUUUAAUUUCAUGUUUUAUACUCAGGAGAGCUUAGGAUGGCGAAAAAGCAAGAAACGGGCCAAAAAUGACAAAGUGGGCCUAAAUCAGUGUUUCACACGGCCUAGGCACUUUCACACGGGUGACCCACACGCCCGUGUGUGACACACGGGUAGACCACACGCCCGUGUGUGACACACAGGUAGACCACACGCCCGUGUGUCAUGGCCAUGUCGACAUUAUUUCAAGCAGAAUUGCACACGGCCUGAGCACUUGCACACGGGCGUGGCACACGACCGUGUCCCUAUCGGGCCCAAGUCUAAUUCUACUUGGAAAAGGCUAAUUCUGGGCUAUUCUGGGCAUUCCAAAGUCUAUAUAAACACCCUAGAAGAGGAUUAAAGGGACAGGAAACAUUGAAGGUAGAAAAUACUCAAGGACAACCAUCGGAAUCACCUCAGAAACAGGAUCUACAUCAAGACUGAAGAUUUCCAUCCAAUUUCCUAGAAGUUCUUUAGGUUUCUUUAUGUUUUGUUGUUUUCUAUACUUUGAGAUGUUUUCCAUUAUUAUUAUGAACUAAACUCCCUAAAUACCUAAGGGAGAUGAAACCUAAGACGAAUCCUAUUACUUUUUGAUUUAUAUGAUAAAUACUUGUUCUUAUUCUUAAUUGUGAGUUUUAAUUCUUGCUUUAAUAUUCCAGGAUAAUAACUCAGGUUUUUGAUGUGCUUAUUCAGUGGAGCAAAAGUCCCUGUUUAAGAGUAGAUCAUUCAUAAUUAAGCGGAGUUGCAUGCAAUCCUAGAGAUAGGACGACAUAAAUCUAUCAGAUUAGAGUCAAAUCUAAUAAGAGAAUCCAUAGAUAGAGUUAAUGCGACAAUAGGGGUUUUAAUUAGAAAGAGAUUUCGAUUAAUCAACGUAGAGUCAGUUGUUUUUAGUCUCGAAAGGGAUAUUAACAUAAAUCAGGGAUUUCUACGGAAUAAGUCAAGUAAAUAAAUCAUCUAAUUCAAAGGUAAUAAGUGAAGUCUAGGUGGAUUCUUUCUUGGGUAUUGUCUUCUCAAUCGGUUUUUCAAAAGUCUUUUUCAACUUUGAUCUUUGUCGCUACUUUAGUUAAUUAGAUAAUUAGUCUUAGAUAAAAAAUUCCCUAAAUUUUUAGGCUAGAUAAUAAAAAGAUAGUAAUUACUAGUACUUUUAGUCCUCAUGGAUAUGAUAUUUCCAGUCUCACCAUAACUAUACUACUGUUCAAUAGGUGCGCUUGCCUUAAGUUGAAUUUUUAGUUAGUUUAGUGACUAUCAGUGGCCAAUGCCAUGUCCCAGACAUGGUCUUACACUAGCACAUAUAUCAACACCGAUGCCAUGUCCCAGACAUAGUCUUACACUAGCACACAUAUCAACUAAAUGUCUUGGCAUGGAUAUCCAAUCUAUUUCUAAGGUUCAACCGGGAGUUUUACCAUAACAAAUCUCAUCAUACAUAUUCCAUGUAAUAUCACUCUUUAACACCAAGUUACCAUUCAUUACAAUGUCAUCAAACAUCAUAGACAUAUGUUUUAGGUCAUUGCAUAUACAUAGCUUACAAUAUAAUUUUUUGAAGCAUAACACCAUCACGUACAUAAUACCACAAACAUAUAAUUCAACGAAUCCGCAUUUUCAUAUCAAUUUAGAUUACAAUCACAAAUCACAGUAACAUUAUUGUCUUACCAAUUUUAUCAUACGACUCGUUUGUUGAUUCCUCGUCGAGUAUGUCCGUAACAAAUCAUACAAAUUAUAUAAUAAAAUUAGGCAUUUCAAUUCAAAUAAGACAUUGCAUUAUUAUUAUCACACGAACUUACCUCGAAUACAAAAAUGGGUAAUUAUUCCCUUUUUGUCCUUAACAACGCAUUUUCUCGAUUUAAGCCCGAGUCUCGAUUUUCUUGAUCUAACAUUUCAAAUAUAGCUUAGUUAUUACUCACAAUAUUCAAAUUGACUCAAAAAUCAUACUUUGGCAAAUUUACAAUUUUUCCCCUAAACUUUCAUUUAUUUGCAAAUUAGUUCCUAGGCUCGAAAAAUAAAAUUCAUUCAAUUUUAUCCUAACCCAGGCCUAGCCGAAUAUUUAUCUUACUUACAACAACCCACAUAUUUCAUUAUUUUACACAUUUACCAUCUAUUUUACAACUUUUACAAAAUGGUCCAUUUUAGGUGUUUUCAUGAAAAUCACUUAACAAAAGUUGUUUAUUUAAAAAUGAAGAUUCAUUUUCUUCCAUAAAAAUGUAGCAAACAACAUGAAUAUUCUCAUGGAAAAACCCUAGACUUUCAAUCAUUUUGCAAAAUAGUCCCCCCAUUAGCUAAAUUAAGCUACAAGGGUUCCAAAAAUACAAAAAUUAUCAGAAAUGACCAUCAAAAUCACUUACUUGUAAGGGUUAGAAGUUGCUGAAAUUUUCAAGCUUCCAUGGUCAUUUCCUUGGGUAAAAAUAGGAGGAGAAGAAAAAGAAAUAAAAAAAGAUGAUAGCUUUUUGCAUUUUGGUCUUAUUAUACCUUUUUAACUUAAUUACCUAUUUACCAUUUUAAUUUCUAACUAAUUUCAAAAAUACCAAACAAAUAUCUUCCACUAACUUAUUAAUGGGCUAAUUUCCACAUAAGGGCUUCCACUAAAAAUUCUGUAGCUAUUUAAUACAUUUAGCUAUUAGAAUGCAACUUUCGCACUUUACACGAUUUAGUCUUUAAAGCCAAAUUAAACACUUCUCACAUAUAAUUUCUUCAUGAAAAUUUUAAACCAUCAUAUAAACAUAUCAUAGACCUUAUAAUAAUUAUAAAAUAAUUAUUUAUAAUUUGGAUUUGUGGUCUCAAAACCACUGUUUUAACUAGGCCUUAAUUUGGGAUUUUACAACUUUCCCCCCUUUAGGGAUUUUCGUCCCCGAAAAUCUUACCAGAAAAGUGGUUUGGUUUUCGCAAAAACUUCUCUUCACAUAAUCAUUGUCACAGAACUCCCACUCGGCUAUACCUUCAAUACUUAUCUCCUUAUUUUCUUAUACUCGAAUCAUGAGCGAUUCUUUCACUAUACAACACAUCGACUGAAUCUCACUUCUAUUGAUGAGUUUAUACACAUCAAAGGUCAGAUCCAUGUCAUCGUAACACAUAUACACACGUACUUGAAUCUUUUCGAAUUCAAAUAGUGAAACUAGCUGGUUCAUCUCGACCUUAUACUCUUUAUAAUUUAAUACGGCCCGAUAGCUUGCAGACUCAACUCUCAGUUGCUCUUAAAUUUCAGAGUCUCUUUUAGCUUCCUCAAGAAAUCACAAUAUAAAACCUAGAUUUCAAUUCGAGUAAUGAAGACUUAGCACUCCAAGAAUUCCAACAAUCAUAGAGACACGAAAUCCCAUUAAUCUGAUGAGCGAAAAUUUUUCUGUACAUACUGGCAAAAUUUUACAGAUCUCAUCAAACAUUUAAUCAACAAGCCACAUAACAUUUUUUUCCUUUUUACAAGACAGGGGAAAUUCCUGGUAUGGCCUCGAGAAUGAUCCCUUUCUUAUUUCCAUUCUAAUAUCAAUACUGAUGGAGGUAGUUCUGGUAAAACCUAUUGUUCGACUUUAACUCCAUCAACAUUUCAAUUACUCAUACACAAAUAUCAGAAAUAUCGAGUUCCAAACUCGAUCACUAACACAUUAUUUCUGUGAGUUUACUUGCAAAAUCUCUAUAUAAGUUUUGGAUUUUUCUAUCCAAACACUUGUAAUCACAAUUUUCUUUCUCUAAGAUCAUUCGAUACUAUCUCAUCAUCUUUUAAUACCCAAGUCAUCUUCACUAUAUCAAACUUAGAUCUUUUUGUAACAUUAGACACUCUAAGCUAUCAAGUUGCCUUAUGGUCUUAAAACACUUCACAAUUCAUUCAACAACACAUUACUGAAAUUAAGAAGUCUUUGUUGAUACCAAAUCCUUAUGCGAAAAUUUGAGAAAUCCAAAUACUAAGGUCACCACAUUACCAAUAAUCAAACCAAAAGCAUAAUCAUAGUCAACAUAGUCUUCAUAAGCCAAAGAACACAUUUUAGACAUGAGUCAAGAUUGACAAUUUAUGAAAUAAAGAUGACAUGAAAACCAAGAGGAAGAAAUCUAAGUUGGAAAAUUCCAAAAUAAAGAAAUCCAAGAUGCGAUACCGUAUCAAAAUAUCGAAAACAUAGCUCACAAGAAAGUGUGAAAGAUUUUAAUAAUCCCCCUAAAUAAAAGAAGUCUAGAAAAACAUCACUCAAACCCACUAGAUUAGAUGUAACAAUAACAAUGUACCUUCCCAUAUAUAAAUCAGAUAAAUCAAUAUUUAGAAGAAACAGAAUCAUAGCUUCAUACACAUUUUCCCAUCCAUUCGUAACAGAUGAAAUGUAUUAAAAUGCCAGAGGGAAAUAGAGCAACAUAGAUUAUAAACUAGUCAUGCUGAUAAUGCUUUCGUCUAAUAUCACGAUUAUAAAACAUCCUCACAUAACAAGAAUUUCAUCAGAGGAUCAAUAGCCAUAGGAAUAUUUCUGAGAACAAAUAAACAUAUAGAACACCACAGAAGAGACUGAUAAUCUGUUCAGCCAUUACGAAUUUCAUAUUAUUCUUUUCACUAAAAGAGAUCAGUUUUGAAGAAAUUUUGAUUAUUACAUUUCUCGACAUCGUAUCAGAAUAGACCAUUUUACCUGAAGUUAACUUCUUCACCAACUGUGAUAUUGCGUGAAUCACAAAAUUUUUCCGGGACAAUCUGAUACUUUACUAAUUCUGGCUUUACUUAUCAACCUGUUCUCAAUAUUUGAUCAUAUUCAUAGCUAUUCUAUCACUAAACUCUUUAGGUUCACACUUGUGAGUUUAUUCAAUACAUUUCUCACAAAAUUCCAUUACAAAAGACCACUCUGGUAAGGGGGAAGGGUGAGGUUGUAAGGUUCCUAACUCGUCUCUCAUAUACAUAUACAUAUGACAUAACUUUCAUCAUCAAAGUAAUGUCGUCACAAUUAUAUCAUUCAUUUCAGGCUAACUAUCGUUCACAUUUGUAUUUCACAUAUUUUUCGAUUAUUUUAUUCAAUCAAGUUCACUUAUGCAUACAUUCUAUGAAUUUCGAAUGUCUUUUCUCAUCAUAUUCACUUAAUGAAACAUAUCAAACACAUAAUAUCAUGUGAGGGCCAAGAAAUAUGAAUAAAUGUAUCACAAUCAAAACUUUCAUCUCGCACAUCAUUAUAUACAUAUCAUUACAAUCAUAUAAAUCAAUCCAAUCGAUUUAACACAUUUACUAAAACUAUACGAGUUUGCCAAUCAUAAUUAUUCAAAUAAGUGUACAUGGACAUUCAUUCCACUAAUAUUUUUGGUAAGUUACCUGAACACAUACAUUCACUCUAGCAAAUUAGUCUUAUACAUCAUGGAAUUAUAGAUCAAUCGUAGAUAAGCUCAUUAUGCCGCUUACACAUUCUAUUUCAUGUUUCUCAUGUCUCAUAUAUGUACAUACAUAUAUAUAUCAUGAAUUCUUAUUCGUACCUUUUUGAGUUUUAACUCAUCAUAAUUGCAAUUUACUCAAUUACCUUAGUACCACUAUCAACAUGGUCGGGUGUAACUCGGUUGGAGAGUACCUUUGUCUAAACAAGAUGGUUCUCAUUCGCAUUGGGAGACAUCACACUAUCACAAAUCUGUGGCAUGUAUAGCUAAACCUUCACACAUGCUAGGUUAGUCCAAGAACUGACUAAACCAUAAUUCUAAUACCACUAAAUGUAACACCCCUUACCUGAAUCCGAGGCCGGGACAGGGUACGAGGCAUUACCGGACUUAAACGUACACAACUAUGUAAAACCAAGCCAUAAAAUUUCAUUCAAAUUAAAAACAUUCAUUCAUAUUCCUAAUGUCUCUUAUAUGGGCUUACGAGGCCCAAAAUAUACAUUGAAGGUGGUUUGAGACUAUACCGAGAACUUAUGAACUUUUUACAACACUUAGAAAAUUUUCAUAUUUUGGAGAGUCACAUGCCCGUGUAGGCAGCCCUGUAAUCACACACGCCCGUGUGGGCAACCCUGUGAUCACACACGCCCGUGUCCUCCAACCGUGUCACUCUUUGUUUAUGACGUCAGCAUCAAUAUAGGAUCACAUGGCCAAGUCACACGCCCGUAUGCUAGACCGUGUCCUCCACACGGAUGAGACACACGGCCGUGUCUCUGCCCAAGUAGCCCAGAAAAUGACAAUUUACCAAGCCACUUGGCACCCUCGCUAGCACUUACUUAAACAUGACUUCAAUGACACUUUUUGAGGCAAUUUCAUAUCGAUUUAUUCAUGCAUAAGGCACCAUACUUUACCUAGUUUAAACUUAUCAACUUCAUGCCAUAAUUAUUGUUAACACAUUCUUUCAUUUCAUACUUAUGCUAAGGUCUAUCCAUAAACCAAUUUAGUCACUUUUAAACCAUCAAGUAAUCUAGGGCACAUUCACAAUUCAUCCAUACCAAACACACAUGACCACACCCUAUGAAACCUUUUAGUACAUGCAUACAUAUAUAGAUAGGUUUACAACCCAAUAACCAAUAUGAGCCACAUCACAUGGCCAUAUACAAAACGAAUCAUAUUCCCAUUAUGAGCCAAUGCAUUUGGCCAAAUCAAAUGACACAUAUCGAAUUGACUAAGUUCCUAUACAUGCCAUAGACUUAAAGUGCUUGAAAUCAUUUAUACCCUUCAAUAGCUGGAUAGUGUGAUAGAAUCUCCUACGAUCUCCAACCCGAGCUAGCAUCUGUGACACUAUGAGAGAAAGGAAAGGAAAGGGGUAAGCUAUAUAGCUUAGUAAGUCCAUAUGAAAAUAAUAAGCAAUUUAUUAACAUGUUUUUAACAAUUCUCACAACAUGUUCACAAGUUAAUACAAUCAUAAUUGCACAAAAUUCUACUAUUUACUCCUGUUCAUCUUAAGCUAUCUACUUGACUCAUAGUUACUAAAUUAUUUAUAUCUUGAGCUACAGAACUCCAAAUUAAGAUCCACUAAUUUUUCCUGAAACUAGACUCACAUAUCUUCUUACCAUAAAAUUUUUAAAAUUUUUGGUCUAGCCAAUAACUACAUUUUAUUCUUUAAAUUCUCCCCUAUUCUGCUGUUUGACAGUUUCAACCCUUGUUCACUAAAAAAUAAUUAUCACACAGUAAGGAAUUCGGAUAAUGUUCCCAUCUAUUUCUAUUGAAAAUAGAUUCAUUAAGAAUUUAUUCAUAUGAAUUCCAACCCAUAAUUAUUUUCAUACAAUUUUAAUGAUUUUCCAAAGUUAAGACAAGGGAACCCGAAAUCACGCUAGCCCUGUAUCACAGAAAUUGAAAUAUCUCAUAACAUGAAAUUUUAUUGCUUACAUCGUUUCUUCUACGUAAAACUAAACUCGAUAAGCUUUAAUUUAAUAUUUUAUUCAACCUCUAACUCAAUUUACACAAUUUUUGGUGGAUUUUCAAAGUCAAGCUACUGCUGUUGUCCAAAACUGUUUUAGUGUAAAAUAAUGAUAACUAAGUUUAUAACACCUUUACAAAUCAUUUCAACCUUUAUGGUAAAAAUACAUACUUAUACAUCAUAAACAUAGAACCAUAAUCACAAGGUUAUCACAAAAUCAUUCUCAUGGGCAUGACUUACUUAUUUGCAUCCUUACCAAAGGUGUAUCCUAAACCGAGAUAAUUUCUCAUGAGUUUUGCACACAUACCCGCACCACUAGCAACAUCAUCAUAAGUUUUCUCAAUCAUGACACAAUAUUUAAAUCACCCGUUGAACCAGUUGAAAUACUAAAGGAUACCCGAUAAGCCUCAUACAAAAGGGUAAAAUGUCAAUGCCAUGUCCCGGACAUGGUCUUACAGUGGCUCUCAUACAUUGGUACCGAUGCCAUGUCCCAAAAAUGGUCUUACACUGACACAUAUAACAAUGUCGAUGCCAUGUUCCAAACAUGGUCUUACACUAGUUCGCAUAUUGAGGCUGAUGCCAUGUCUCAGACAUGGUCUUACACUGGCUCUCAUAAUGUGGCCGAUGCCAUGUCCCAGACAUGGUCUUAUACGAGCACACAUAUCAACACCGAUGCCAUGUCCCAGACAUGGUCUUACAUUGGAUCUCAUAAUGUGGCCGAUGCCAUGUCCCAGACAUGGUCUUACACUAGCACACAUAUCAACACCGAUGCCAUGUCCCAGACAUGGUCUUACACUGGCUCUCUGUAACAUCUCAAAAUAGGGCCUAAAUGGAAUAGUGGUUGCGAAACCUCUUCUGAGAUAGAAAAUUUUAUUUCGAUUAAUUUUUAUGAUUUACCGGGUGAUUAGAUGCAUGUGUUAGAGUAUUGAUAAGAAAUUGUAUAGAUUGCAUGUUUAGUUUGCCUAUUAGGGCUUAUUUGCAGAAGUUGCUGUAACAGCCCGAUUUAGGCCUAAAUGGAACGAUGGUUUUAGAACCACGAAUUUGAAGUCAAAAAAAUUAUUCUGAUUAAGUUUUAAGGUUUAUUUAUUGAUUAAAAUAAUGUGUAAAAAUAUCGUUAAGUAAUUUUACUGAUAAAGUGCUUAAUUGGACUUUUAGGACCAAAUUGCAAAAGUUACAAAAUAUGUGUUCUAAUUCAUAAGUAAUUGAUUGAAAUGGGGGUUUAAAGAGGAUUUCGUUAAAUGUUAAUUAGACCAUUAUAUUUCGUUUGGACAAAAAUGGGCAUGAAUAGGACAAAAUUUUAAAGAAAGGCCUUAAGGGCAUUUUAGUCAUUUGGUAAUUAAAAGAAAUAAAAAGGGAAAAUAAAGCCAAAAUUGACUCAUCUUUUUCAUGGAGGCCAAAAUUAGCAUGGGGGAAGCCAUGGCUAGGGUUUUCAAGCUUUCCAAGCUCAAUAGUAAGUCCGUUCUAGCCCCGUUUUCAAGUUCUUUACGAUUUUAGAAUCCCGGUAACUUGAUUAAGCUUAUUCUAGCUAUAAUUUAAGCUAGGGUUCAUAUUUGGAAAAAUACCCAUAGGUUAAAUGUGUUUAUUUUGAUAUUUUAUGGUAGAAUAUGAAGGCUGAAAUUAUGUUAAACAACUUUUGCUAAGCAGUUUUAAGCAAAAAUGAGUAAAACGGCUUAAUCGGUAAAAGUUGUUAUUAUUCAUAACUAUGUGUUAGAGUGAGAAUUUGAUGUUGCCAUAGAAGGGAAAAAUGAUCAGCAUGUCAGAAAACAUAGGAAUAAGGGAUGCAGUUUAAUUCCCGAGCCUAGGGGCAAAAGUGUAAGUAUGCAAAAUUUUAGGGGCAAAAUUGUAAUUUUCCCAAAGUUUGAGUUAAGGACUGUUUUGAAUAUUAAAUUAAUUAAAUAAGUAAAAUAGGAUGUUUUAGAUCCCGAAAAAUGAGAUUUGAAUCUAGAAUGGGAGAAAAAAUAAAAAUCGGGAAAGUUGGUAAAAUGACCGUUUUAGUAUCGAGGUAAGUUCAUAUGUAUAAUAAGCAUUAAUUUAUGCAUGUUUCAAUAUAAAAUUGAUAUAUUUACUAUGAUUGCCAAGGUGUUGAAAGUAAGUAUAAUUAUGAUGAUUUAAAUGUUCAAUAUUAAUUCGACAUGGAAAUGAGAAAGUAUGUAAGUUUGUAUGUAAAUAAUACAUUAUCUUUAUUAUGUUUUUGUAUUUCAGCAUAAUUUAUGUAUUGCAGCUGAUUUUUGAAUCAUAAUUGACUAUUGGAAGUAUGGAAUCAAGUAUUAGAAAGUGAGAGAAAUCCCGGUUGAACCUUCGGAAAGAUUGGAUGAUACAGAUGGUAUGUAGCUAGGUCACAUGUAUGGUGCUAAGUACACAUCAUGUGCACAAGAGAGCUACGAGACAUUAUGAUGUAGCCAGGUUGCAUGGGUGAUACUAUGUGUACACCAUGUAGACAAGAGAGCUACGGGAUAUAUGUAGCUAGGUCGCAUCGUGGUUCCAGGUGAAGGACACCGUGUAGACAAGAGAGCUAUGAGAUAAACUGGCUAGGUCACAUGGGUGGUACUAAGUGUUCACCAUGUGUACAAGAGAGCCAAAAUUAUGUGUACAAUCAAGCUAGGUCAUAUGAGUGGUGCUAAGUGAAGACCACUAUGUGUACAAGAGAGCUUUGAUUUGAAAGGUGGGCUGUGUGCGAUACCAUCGCGUAUCUGUUAUUAUUCCGAAGCGUUCAACUGGGAAAUUGAUUAAAUGAAAUUGUGUAUGACUUUAUGAUGAUAAGUGUAAGUAUAUACGUGUGUAACUUAUGAGCAAUAAGCUCGAUAUGUGAUUGGAAAUUGGAAAGAUUGUUAGGGGAAAGUGAUGAAUACAAUUGAAGUGUGAAAGAUCAAAAUUGACAAUAAAACUGUUCUGGAUAGUUGCAGUGACGUGAAUUUAAAAAUUUACUAAAAAUAGUAGAAAUUGAAACAGAGACUGAAUGAGAUAUCAAAUUAGAGCUUAAUGAGUCUAUUUUCAUAUAACAAAAACAGAGCAAGCAAAGGAAUUCUAUAUUAUGAGAUAUUUAAGUUUUUGAGAGACUGGUUGAGAAUGACUACGUGAUCCCCUGUUCUAACGUGAAAAAAAUCAUUAAAAAUUGUAUAAAAAUGAUAUAAUUUAUAUGAUUGAAAUCCUUAAUGAGUCUAGUUUCAAAUGAAAUAAACGAUAACAUCCUUUGAAUUCUAUAUGAGGAUAAAAUUGAUUUGUAGAUAAGAGUGGUCAGAAUAGUUGAGCAGUGAAACAAGGGUAAGUUAAAUGAAUAAACUGUACUAAUUUGAUAGACCAAAAAUUUUGAAAAUUUUAUGGUAAGAAUAUAUGUGAAUCUAGUUUCAAGGAAAAUUAAUGGUUUGUAAUUUUGAGUUAUGUAGCUCCAGAAAUAAAUAAUUUAGUUUAUGGUACUCUGCUAGACAACUUAUUUUGAACCUGUUUAUGAUUGUAAUAGUGAAAGUAUUUGUGUUUGUGAUGGUAAUAUUCCGGGAACAUAUUGCGACUUUGUUUAAAGUAUGAUAAUGUAUUUUUUAUUAAUAUUUACAUACUUACUUACUAAGCUAUAAUGCUUACUCCCUUCCUUUCCUUUUUCCUUUAGUGUCGCAAAUGUUGGCUCGAGUUGGAGGUCGCCGGAGGUUAAAUCACACUAUCAAACUAUUGAUCGAUAUAUAAAAGUUUUAAAGUAUUUUAAGUCUUUGGCAUGUAUAGAGACUCGUUUAAUUGUUAUUAAGUUGCUAGGAAUUGGCUUAAAAUACUGACCUAUGUUAUUUGAAGGUCUCUAUUAUAUAAAGUCAUUUAAUGUAGAUAGUCUUGAUUAUGUUAUUAAUUAUGAAUUGGUUUUUAUAUGAUGAUUAGUGAUUAAUUCCGGUAAUGCCUCGUACCCUGUUCCAGCGUCAAACACGGGUAAGGGGUGUUACACUCUCAUAAUGUGGCCGAUGCCAUGUCCCAAAAAUGGUCUUAUGCUAGCACACAUAUCAACCAAAUGUCUUGGCAUGGAUAUCCAAUCUAUUCCUAAGGUUCAACUGGGAGUUUUACUACAACAAAUCUUGUCAUACAUAUUCCAUGUAAUAUCACUCUUUAACACCAAGUUACCAUUCAUUACAAUGUCAUCAAACAUCAUAGACAUAUGUUUUAGGUCAUUGCAUAUACAUAGCUUACAAUAUAAUUUUGUGAAGCAUAACACCAUCACGUACAUAGUACCAAAAAUAUAUAAUUCAACACAUCCGCAUUUUCAUAUCAAUUCAGAUUGCAAUCACAAAUCACAAUAACAUUAUUGUUUUACCAAUUUUAUCAUACGACUCGUUUGUCGAUUCUUCGUCGAGUAUGUUCGUAACAAAUCAUACAAAUUAUAUAAUAAAAAUUAGGCAUUUCAAUUCAAAUAAGACAUUGCAUUAUUAUUAUCACACGAACUUACCUCGAAUACAAAAACGGCUAAUUAUACCCUUUUUGUCCUUAACCACGUACUUUCUCGAUUUAAGCCCAAAUCUCAAUUUUCUUGAUCUAACAUUUCAAAUAUAGCUUAUUUAUUACCCACAAUAUUCAAGUUGACCCAAAAAUCAUACUUUGGAUAAUUUAUAAUUUUCCCCUAAACUUUUACUUAUUUGCAAAUUAGUCCCUAAGUUUGAAAACUAAAAUUCAUUCAAUUUUAUCCCAACCCAAGCCUAGCCGAAUAUUUAUCUUACUUACAGCAACCCACAUAUUUCAUUAUUUCACACCUUUACCAUCUAUUUUACCACUUUUACAAAAUGGUCCAUUUUAGGUGUUUUCAUGAAAAUCACUUAACAAAAGUUGUUAAUUUAACAACGAAGAUUCAUUUUCUUCCAUAAAAAUGAAGCAAAAAACAUGAAUAUUCUCAUGGAAAAACCUUAGACUUUCAAUCAUUUUGCAAAAUAGUCCCCUCAUUAGUUAAAUCAAGCUACAAAUGUUCCAAAAAUACAAAAUCAUCAAAAAUGACCAUCAAAAUCACUUACUUGUGAGGGCUAGAAGUUGCUGAAAUUUUCAAGCUUCCAUGGCCAUUUCCUUGGGUAAAAAUCGGUGGAUAAGAAAGAGAAAUAAAAAAA